UAAAAUUUAAAAUUAUAAUACUUAAAUAGUAGAUAAUUAUUUAUUGAAACUUAAAUAAUUUGGCGGUAUUUUAGUUCAUUUAGAGGAAUCUGUUUAAUAAUUGAUAUUCCACGAAUAAAUUUACUUAAUUUAUAAUUUUGUAUAUCGUUGUUAUAAAAAUAUUUUUUAAUAAAAUUAAUAUUUAAAAAUUAUUAUUUAAAUUUAAAUCAGAUCAAGAUGCAGAUUAUAAUUAAGAAUAUAAUGGAUUACAAUAAAUUUAUUUAAAUGAAUAUUUUUUUGUAAAAAUUAAUUGAAGGUGGAUUUAAAUGUAAUUUUAUUAAUUUUAUUAAAAUGAUUAAAAAUUAAAAUAUGU
rnacentral:rRNA from 1 species